GUUGUUAAUCCAAACUUGUGCCGCACAACAAGUUAUCAUUUUUCAUACAGAAUUUACAUAUAAAUAUCUUUUUUAUUUAUUUUCUCUCGAAGCAAGCGCAUAAGCCUGAUUUCUCUUACCAUAAUCAAUCGAUUUCCGAGUUUAUGAAACCCUAAUUUGCUCGUUCAUAUCGGAAUAGUGAAAAACACUCGCACCGAAGCGUCUCAUUCAACGAUUAUCCAUUUCUUCAACCGGAAAACUUCGACAAAGGUUCAAGAUUGAAUUGUAGUUUUUACAAUGAGAUUAAUAAAAGGAAGCAAAGUAGAGAUCCUUGUCAAUACUUCGAGGCUUGAAGUAGAAUGGCAUGGUGCACGUAUUACUUCUGGUAAUGGGCACACUUACAAUGUCAAGUAUGACCAUUCUAGUGCAAACGAUAAGGCUCUUUCAAGGAGGGUUCCAAGGAAGGCCAUCAGACCGUGUCCCCCUGCUAUGAGAAAUAUUGAGGGUUGGAAAGUUAAUGAUGCUGUGGAGGUUUGGAAUGACGGAUGCUGGAAAAAAGCUACCGUGUUGAAGUACAUGACUGGAGAAUUCUACUUGGUAGGGUUGCACGGAUCUUGCACGGAGCUGAAGGUUCAAGAAAUUCACAUGAGGAUGUGCCAAUCAUGGGAAAACGGUCAAUGGAUAAUUAGUCCAAAGGUACCAGCCAAGUCUAGAGUGAUGAAGUUUAGCCAGAAUUUGAUUUCAAACAACUAUAAGGUGAUGCCUGAUGUUCAGCAAGAUAACAAUGUUUGUUCACUAGGAUUGGAUGACAGCUGUCUCCAUCUACCCUCACCUUCAACUUUGAAAAGACAGUGCUCCCAUGACUCAUCUCGGAUUCAGGAUUAUCCCAGAAAAAAGAGGGCUGGUGUGAUUAUGGGUGAGUCUAAAAGGUUCAAAGCAGUAUUCACUGCUCCAUUGAUGGAAAAGGUAGAUGCUAUUGCUUACCCACAGAAUAUUAUGGGUGAAAAAUACAUGCAUUAUUCCCUCACUAAUAGUACCAAUCAAUUAUAUGGAAUAGAGAAGAAGAAUCCUUGUAAUGUUAAAACCACUGUAGAACAAGAUUAUUCUUGUAGUAAUCUGAGUUCAGUUGGCAGCUGUAGUGUAAUAAGUGGUAGUGCCAAUGAAUAUUUUGGUGAUACGUUAGCAGGUCCUUUCCAAGAUGAUGCAGAUUCCCUUCGCAGUAAUCCAGAAUUUCCAGAUGUUCAAGACGUUGAUGGAUUUUAUGGUGAUAUGUUGGCAAAUCCUUGCCAAAGUGAUGACAAUACCAUUUGCAGUGAUGCAAAUUCUCUAGAUGUUGAAGACGCAGAGGUAGGAUGCACCAUUAUCCCAAAAGAGGUUGUAGCCGAAAAAAUCCAUAGUAUUAUAUAUGGUGAGAGCUUCCAUACCUUCAAAAAGCUAUGAGAGUUGCAUGUGAUUGUUUAUUCAAGUACUACUUUCUGAUGCUAUGUAAAUCAUUUAAUUGGCAAGCAAUGAUGAACUGCUUCAUGUAUAUAGUUAUUGAAGUAUGAAACCUAAAAUUUUGCUUAAUCUCAGUAAACUUUAUUUACUGUUUAUUUUCUUAUAUGGUCUUUUUCCUACUAUUUGAUUAUUGAUUUUUAUUGAUGAAUCAAAAUCAUUUUCCAGGGCCAGUGUAGGAGGCUUGCAUGCCUUGCUUCCAAUGGCUAAAUAUGAUGCUAGGUUUGCCUCUUCUCUCUGCAAAUUAAUUGGUGACCUCUACCAAUAAUUAUCUCAGAGAUAAGAAAUUUCUGACCUCUGUUUGUUAUGAUUGUUUAUGUGCUUUCCAAUAAUAUUGGAUAUCUCAGGUGUGCUUAGAACUCACACUUGUCAAUCAUGGCCAGAACAUGAACUUGCUUAAAAGCUGCAGAAACAACCCUCGCAUGGAUGAUCUUCUUAUGCAUUAUUCAGAUAAUGGUAGUCUGUUUUAUUUAUUUGCACACCAUAUGGAUUAUCUUAAUGUGACUUGAAAUGAAUACUCUAUCCCACCAGUUGAAAAGCAAGUUAUGCCAGGAUGUUACAUUAUGUGUUUAUACUAGGGUUGUCAAUUCUGCCAUUAUGUCCUGUCUUGUAACCGGUAAAAUCCUGUAAAACCCUUGUAUACUUCACGAUCCACAAUGUUUCUUCAGGGUUUUGCUGUCUUUUUGUUGUGUCCUCCACUCUUCUAUUGGGUCUGUCACCGAGUACCCCGCCCUCACUCUCCUUUGGUACUCAGUUUAUCACACAUUCACAAUGUGCCUCUCUUGAUUUAAAUCCUACUUGACUCUAUUGUGUGUGUUUUUGGUUCACGAAGAUCCCUUUUGAACUUUAAUUGAGUGCUUUGAGAUAGCGUAAUGCUUUAAUUUCUGAUUUUAUUCAGAGUAUAUUCAUUUUGUUUUUGUUUUUGUUUGUCUAUAACUGAUUUUGAAAUAAUUGGGUGAUACACUCUGCUAACCUUGCAUCAUACCUUAGUAGACACGUGAUUUUUAACUGUCAAUUUUUCGUAAUGCUAGCAUGUAGCCAUGAUAUUGAUAUAGAAUCUCAUCUCAGACAAAUCAAAAGCUUACUAAGCUAUCCAUUUUAGAUCAAUGCACUAUUUUUUAUACCUUAGUAGACACGUGAUUUUUAACUGUCAAUUUUUCGUAAUGCUAGCAUGUAGCCAUGAUAUUGAUAUAGAAUCUCAUCUCAGACAAAUCAAAAGCUUACUAAGCUAUCCAUUUUAGAUCAAUGCACUAUUUUUUUUGGAAAGAUAUCCGGAUCUUCAUUGAGGUCAUUCUAGCUCUUCACUAUGUUUGUGACUAUUUUACUGUGACUACUGUUGAACUAAUAAAGUUUUAAUCAAAAGGCUUGUGGAAAGGACUUAUUUGAAAAGAUGCAUAUUGAUUUGGUCCUCCUUUAAAAUGCGAAGUGUGAUUUGCUCUGGUCACUGCGGGGCUAUUCAAGCUUUGACUUCAUUAUCAAAAAGGCUUGUGGAAACAGUAUUUCAGAAGCUGAUUUGAACAAGCAACUUUAUGCACGCUUUGUAGUUCUGAAUGUUGGUAUUAUCUCUUCAAGUACCUUUUAUUCCAUUUGUUUUUUAAGUUUAUGUUUGCAGCUAAUGCUGUGUAUAUUGUCAGCUUAGCUGAAUAUAAGCUCUUUCGCAGUUGUGUUUAAUUUAAUCCAUAUUUUUUUAUUGGCUGUUAUAGCUCAACCAACAAUGUUAUUUAUCUUUAGCUGUUAUAGCUCAACAAAUAAUGUUAUUUAUCUUUUCAAUUCUAAUAAUUUAUAAUUUCUAUAUUAUUAAUGAAGAAUAGUUGUGCAGUACAAAAUUUCUUGUCUUUAUGAAAUCAACCAGUUUCUUGUAAAGUAGAAAAUAUCAGUGCUAUUUGAAUACAUAAGAAUUAGGCCACUUUACUAUGUAGUUGGAUUAAAUGAGUAUAUGAUUUAAAUUGGUUAAUACCUAGAAAUGCAGGUAUAUCCGCAAUUACAAAUUAAUUUGAAUUUGUAGUCUUCACUUUUCUGAACCAGGUGCCUACUCAAAUUUUUGUUUUGUUCAGUAUAUUUCGUUUCUGCUAUUCAAAAUAAUUUUUUGUUUUGUUUUGUUGCCUGUAAAUUGACGUUAAAGUGUCUACAUGUACAGACCCUUUACUGGAUACAACAUAUAAAGGAUCUUCUUAGAGAGAUGAUGUCCUUAUGAUCUGUGAGAUCUUCUGCUGGCGACCUAAAGAAAGCUAGGGGCAUUCAAUAACAAAACAACCUCUGGUACAAUUUAAAACAGAAGGAUACUCAAAUCUGACCUUUUUCAUAAGGUUGCUAAUGCCACAUAUAAGCAUUACUAUUAGAUUAAAGCAUACGGCGGUGGCGACGACGACCACGUUUGUUCAUAAGUUCAACGGUGAAGAUAUUUCCAUCGCCACACUUACACAUUACUUUCGGAGAGUGUAGCAUAUGGUUGUGGUGGUGACUUUUGUUCAUAAGUUCAACAACGGUGGCUUCGACGAGCUUUGACAACGAUUUUGACGGCUGCUUCAACGUUUUCUACAAUGAUUUAUUCUUUUUAGUAUUGAUGAUAUAUUGUUUUAUUCUAAGAAUAUUUAUAUUUAUUCUAUAUUUAUUAAGAAAGUUUAUAUGAUUAUUAUA